GGGAUUUAACUCAGGGGCAGAGUGCUUGCUUUGCAUGCGAGACGUCGCCGGUUCGAUUCCGGCAAUCUCC
rnacentral:ncRNA from 14 species